rnacentral:rRNA from 1 species
UACGUAGGGUGCGAGCGUUAAUCGGAAUUACUGGGCGUAAAGAGUGCGUAGGCGGUUCGUUAUGUCUGCUGUGAAAGCCCCGGGCUUAACCCGGGAAUGGCAGUGGAAACUGGCGGGCUUGAGUGUGGCAGAGGGGGGUGGAAUUCCGCGUGUAGCAGUGAAAUGCGUAGAGAUGCGGAGGAAUACCGAUGGCGAAGGCAGGUCUCUGGGCUGACACUGACGCUCAUGCACGAAAGCGUGGGGAGCAAACAGG